UACGUAGGUGGCAAGCGUUAUCCGGAAUUAUUGGGCGUAAAGAGCUCGUAGGCGGUUUGUCGCGUCUGCUGUGAAAACUCGGGGCUUAACUCCGGGCCUGCAGUGGGUACGGGCAGACUAGAGUGCGGUAGGGGAGACUGGAAUUCCUGGUGUAGCGGUGAAAUGCGCAGAUAUCAGGAGGAACACCGGUGGCGAAGGCGGGUCUCUGGGCCGUAACUGACGCUGAGGAGCGAAAGCGUGGGGAGCGAACAGG
rnacentral:rRNA from 1 species